AACGAACGCUAGCGGGAUGCCUCAAACAUGCAAGUCGCACGCGAAAGGUGCAAUACCGAGUAGAGUGGCGCACGGGUGAGUAACACGUAACUAACGUACCCUUUCGCUGGGGAUAACUCCGGGAAACCGGAGCUAAUACCGAAUGAUCUGAUUGGGACUGCGGUCUUAAUCGGUAAAGGCGUAAGCCGCGAAAGGAUCGGGUUGCGGUCUAUUAGCUAGUUGGUGAGGUAACGGCUCACCAAGGCUACGAUAGAUAGCUGGUCUGAGAGGAUGAUCAGCCACACUGGAACUGGAACACGGUCCAGACUCCCACGGGAGGCAGCAGUUGGGAAUAUUGGACAAUGGGGGCAACCCUGAUCCAGCAAUCCCGCGUGAGGGACGAAGGCC
rnacentral:rRNA from 1 species